ACUUCGAUUGCGCUUUACAUCGCAGUUUGUUUACGCGUCUUUGUUUUAUUUUGUGCUACUCUUUUGGUCAAACGCAGCUGUGUUUGCUGGCUGACGAAAUUUUGCAAGCAUUUGAGUUGAGAAGUGCAAGGCGGAUCAAUGGAUUAUUAGAUAAUAAAAGGACGACAAGCAGUUAGCAUAAUGUAUUGCUCUACAGUGGAAAACGACAAUGUGCCUAAAGAGACGAAGUGGAAAUUAUGACAGAAAAUCUACGUUAUGGAAAUAAUGACAGGGGAAUGCGGACCUAAAAAGAAAGGCAGUUUCUUUGGUGUUAUGAUCGAUUCAAUAACUGAGGACCACUUUACAAAAGCCUUACAGCUCAAAAAAAACGAUAUUCUAAAAACUCAAGUUGCCUUUAAGUAAUAAAAGUAUCCGAC